rnacentral:rRNA from 1 species
AGAGUUUGAUCAUGGCUCAGAAUGAACGUUGGCGGCGUGGAUUAGGCAUGCGAGUCGCGCGAGAACCGUAGCAAUACGGGGACAGCGGCGAAAGGGAGAGGAAUAAGUAGAAAUCUACCCUCGGGACGGGGAUAGCGGCGGGAAACUGCCAGUAAUACCCGAUAACGUCCUUGGACCAAAGGUGUGAUUCCGCCUGAGGAUGAGUCUACUUCCUAUUAGCUAGUUGGUGGGGUAAUGGCCCACCAAGGCAACGAUGGGUAGCAGGUGUGAGAGCACGACCUGCCUCAUUGGGACUGAGACACUGCCCAGACACCUACGGGUGGCUGCAGUCGAGAAUCUUCGGCAAUGGACGAAAGUCUGACCGAGCGACGCCGCGUGCGGGAUGAAGGCCUUCGGGUUGUAAACCGCUGUCGUAGGGGAACAAGUUUACGGGGGUUAUCCCCUGUAAUUGAGUGAUCCUAGGAGGAAGGGGAGGCUAAGCUCGUGCCAGCAGCCGCGGUAAUUC